AGAGUUUGAUCCUGGCUCAGGACGAACGCUGGCGGCGCGCCUAACACAUGCAAGUCGAACGAGCGAGAGAGAGCUUGCUUUCUCGAGCGAGUGGCGAACGGGUGAGUAACGCGUGAGGAACCUGCCUCAAAGAGGGGGACAACGGUUGGAAACGACUGCUAAUACCGCAUAAGCCCACAGCUCGGCAUCGAGCAGAGGGAAAAGGAGCAAUCCGCUUUGAGAUGGCCUCGCGUCCGAUUAGCUGGUUGGUGAGGUAAUGGCCCACCAAGGCGACGAUCGGUAGCCGGACUGAGAGGUUGAACGGCCACAUUGGGACUGAGACACGGCCCAGACUCCUACGGGAGGCAGCAGUGGGGAAUAUUGCACAAUGGGGGAAACCCUGAUGCAGCGACGCCGCGUGGAGGAAGAAGGUCUUCGGAUUGUAAACUCCUGUUGUUGAGGAAGAUAAUGACGGUACUCAACAAGGAAGUGACGGCUAACUACGUGCCAGCAGCCGCGGUAAAACGUAGGUCACAAGCGUUGUCCGGAAUUACUGGGUGUAAAGGGAGCGCAGGCGGGAAGACAAGUUGGAAGUGAAAUCUAUGGGCUCAACCCAUAAACUGCUUUCAAAACUGUUUUUCUUGAGUAGUGCAGAGGUAGGCGGAAUUCCCGGUGUAGCGGUGGAAUGCGUAGAUAUCGGGAGGAACACCAGUGGCGAAGGCGGCCUACUGGGCACCAACUGACGCUGAGGCUCGAAAGUGUGGGUAGCAAACAGGAUUAGAUACCCUGGUAGUCCACACCGUAAACGAUGAUUACUAGGUGUUGGAGGAUUGACCCCUUCAGUGCCGCAGUUAACACAAUAAGUAAUCCACCUGGGGAGUACGACCGCAAGGUUGAAACUCAAAGGAAUUGACGGGGGCCCGCACAAGCAGUGGAGUAUGUGGUUUAAUUCGACGCAACGCGAAGAACCUUACCAAGUCUUGACAUCCUGCGACGCACAUAGAAAUAUGUGUUUCCUUCGGGACGCAGAGACAGGUGGUGCAUGGUUGUCGUCAGCUCGUGUCGUGAGAUGUUGGGUUAAGUCCCGCAACGAGCGCAACCCUUACUGUCAGUUACUACGCAAGAGGACUCUGGCAGGACUGCCGUUGACAAAACGGAGGAAGGUGGGGAUGACGUCAAAUCAUCAUGCCCUUUAUGACUUGGGCUACACACGUACUACAAUGGCGUUAAACAAAGAGAAGCAAGACCGCGAGGUGGAGCAAAACUCAGAAACAACGUCCCAGUUCGGACUGCAGGCUGCAACUCGCCUGCACGAAGUCGGAAUUGCUAGUAAUCGUGGAUCAGCAUGCCACGGUGAAUACGUUCNCCGGGCCAUGUACACACCGCCCGUC
rnacentral:rRNA from 1 species